CACGCUUCUCACAAGCCGUUCAGAACAGACAAUGAUUUUAGAUCAGGGCUAUGUGCAGAAGAAAGCAUGAACGGAAAUGGGUGUUAUCAGGGCAAAGCAAACCCAGAUGCCUUAACACCAUGGCAAAGAUGGAUUCUUGCCUCUUCCGUGAGCUGUGUUUCAGUAUCCAUGAACAUCUGACACUCAAUUACACGUGAGAGUUCUGCCUUUUAUCCUCCAUUGUCCCAAGUCUGCUAAACAAAGCAUUUCUUCCCCAGUGACAGUGACGCCUGGCUACGAGCUGGAGGCUCUCUCUGCCUGGGUCUGGGAAGUCGCUCUUUCCGGAAGGGUGGUGGAGACCCUGGGAAUCGGACCAGCCCGGCUCACAAGUAUGAAGAGAAUGUCGGGAGAGGAAGUGGUGGUUCUGAGUCAGCAUGAGUCAUCUGGUUCCAGUGGCAAUGAAGGCUGAGGUGUGCGCCUUUUUCUUUUUCUUGUCUUUUUUUUUUUUUUUUCUUAAUCAUGUGGACAACUCUGAGAAUGGAGGGGACUCAGUGACUUUACAGUGGCUGCUUUCUAAGUUUCAAAGUGACUUUCCAGGCAAGCUGAGCAUGUCUUGGGAUCUUCACAGCACAGUGGCUGGGAGUGGAGCCAUUCAUCAGCUUCUCCCCGAAUAACUGGGAGCUGAAACAGGAAGCCCCAUGACACAGUUGAUCGAAAAUGACACAGACACAGAAAAAUCAGGACGUGCCCCCAGCACCUCUACCUGCUGCCUGCUGAUCGCAGCGAGAAGGCAGGUGAAGGGUUUUCCCUGGGAAUGGACUCUGGCUACGGAGGACUCUGGCUGCCAGCAGUCCUUGGGGACCCUUCCUCCGUCUUAGAGAACGGCUGUGAUAUUCACCUCCGCCUUGCCUCCUCUAGCCUCUUGUCUCCAUUUUAUGAGGACCUGGAUGAUAACGAAAUUGUGUUUCGGGACCAGAGAUGGCAAGAUCUUCAAAUAAAAUGAUGUGAAGAUCCGAAUGCUUUGGACCUAUAGUUUAGAGGUAGAAAAUCUGCAGACUCUGAAGCCAGCCCAUCUGAAUGUCAUCUUCAGAUCUGUCUGUGAGAAUCACUACAGCUUCCACUUCCUCACUGAAUGAGUCUGCUUCAGUCCCAGCUCCAACACACAUGAGCUCUACAACCUUGUCUAGUCUUCCUGGGACCCACGUUCCUCAUCUGUUAAAUACAGCUGUUAGUAUUUUAGCUAUUGCAUAUUGUUGGCAGAAGUUUCUGUUCCAUCUGCGAGCUUCCAAAUAACCACACAGAGACUUAUUAUUAAUUAUAGAUGCUCAGCCAAUAGCAUAGGCUGGUUACUAACUAGCUCUUAUGACUUAUAUUAGCUCAUAUUUCUUAUCUACGCUCUACCACGUGGCAAUUCAUUUUUCAGCACAGCAAGUUCAUCUUGCCUCUCUCCCUGUCCCCUGGUGACUCUGCCCUUCUUCACCCCCAGGCUUCCUUUUUUCCUGUCCACAAGUCCUGCCUAACCUCUUCCUGCUCUCUAUUAAAUCAAUGAGAGCACACAUCUUCACAGUGUACAAAAGGAUUAUUCCACCACAGUACAUAAAAUUCUGAAGUAAUUCUUUCAUGCAGAAAACAGGAUAUACAUGUGCAUUGUUGCUUUUAUAUAAUUAUAAUUUUGCUUGAUUCCCUUUGUUCAUUGUACAAUCCUAUUUCCAAAGAAAAUAAACUCCAGUUUACUAAUAGGAGGAGAGGCCUACCUAGAUCCACCUCUGACCCAUCCAGCCCUGGCCAGCACAUACCUUCACUUAUCUUGCUUGUGCUACACACGAUUGCCCAGCUGUCUAGGUGGGGAUGUUGGAGCACACUUAUUUACCAGAUUGGUCUGGGCCACUGCAUUGUCUUUCAUUGAUAAGAUGUCUAUGUAAUUCCUUUUCAUUGGCACUAACCAUGGCUCUUUUUUGUUUGUGUUAUCGUUUCUCCGAGAUAGGGUCUUAUACUAUAGCUCAGGUGGGCCUAGAACUUACUAUGCAGUCCCUGCAGACCUCAGAUCCAUGGAAAUCUUCCUGUAUCACCUUCCCAAGUGUUUGAGUUAAGUCAUGAGCCAGCCAUCGUCCCCAGCUUCUGUUCUUCUGUUGUAGUUACAAUUUUG